CCCUUAGAUGUUCUGGGCCGCACGCGCGCUACACUGAUGCAUUCAACGAGUUUCUUCCUGGUCCGAGAGGAAUGGGUAACCUUUUGAAAGUGCAUCGUGAUAGGGAUAGACUAUUGCAAUUAUUGGUCUUCAACGAGGAAUUCCUAGUAGACGUAGUUCAUCAGACUGCAUCGAUUACGUCCCUGCCCUUUGUACACACCGCCCGUCGCACCUACCGAUUGAACGUUCCGGUGAGACCUUGGGAUUUGGUCUUUGGUACUUUAUUGUGCCGUUGACCGAAAAACUUGAGCAAACCUUAACGUUUAGAGGAAGGUGAAGUCGUAACA
rnacentral:rRNA from 1 species